rnacentral:rRNA from 1 species
GACGAACGCUGGCGGCGUGCUUAACACAUGCAAGUCGAACGGAAAGGCCCUGCUUUUGUGGGGUGCUCGAGUGGCGAACGGGUGAGUAACACGUGAGUAACCUGCCCUUGACUUUGGGAUAACUUCAGGAAACUGGGGCUAAUACCGGAUAGGAGCUCCUGCUGCAUGGUGGGGGUUGGAAAGUUUCGGCGGUUGGGGAUGGACUCGCGGCUUAUCAGCUUGUUGGUGGGGUAGUGGCUUACCAAGGCUUUGACGGGUAGCCGGCCUGAGAGGGUGACCGGCCACAUUGGGACUGAGAUACGGCCCAGACUCCUACGGGAGGCAGCAGUGGGGAAUAUUGCACAAUGGGCGGAAGCCUGAUGCAGCAACGCCGCGUGCGGGAUGACGGCCUUCGGAUUGUAAACCGCUUUCGCCUGUGACGAAGCGUGAGUGACGGUAAUGGGUAAAGAAGCACCGGCUAACUACGUGCCAGCAGCCGCGGUGAUACGUAGGGUGCGAGCGUUGUCCGGAUUUAUUGGGCGUAAAGGGCUCGUAGGUGGUUGAUCGCGUCGGAAGUGUAAUCUUGGGGCUUAACCCUGAGCGUGCUUUCGAUACGGGUUGACUUGAGGAAGGUAGGGGAGAAUGGAAUUCCUGGUGGAGCGGUGGAAUGCGCAGAUAUCAGGAGGAACACCAGUGGCGAAGGCGGUUCUCUGGGCCUUUCCUGACGCUGAGGAGCGAAAGCGUGGGGAGCGAACAGGCUUAGAUACCCUGGUAGUCCACGCUGUAAACGGUGGGUACUAGGUGUGGGGUCCAUUCCACGGGUUCCGUGCCGUAGCUAACGCUUUAAGUACCCCGCCUGGGGAGUACGGCCGCAAGGCUAAAACUCAAAGGAAUUGACGGGGCCCCGCACAAGCGGCGGAGCAUGCGGAUUAAUUCGAUGCAACGCGUAGAACCUUACCUGGGUUUGACAUGGAUCGGGAGCGCUCAGAGAUGGGUGUGCCUCUUUUGGGGUCGGUUCACAGGUGGUGCAUGGCUGUCGUCAGCUCGUGUCGUGAGAUGUUGGGUUAAGUCCCGCAACGAGCGCAACCCUUGUUCACUGUUGCCAGCACGUUAUGGUGGGGACUCAGUGGAGACCGCCGGGGUCAACUCGGAGGAAGGUGGGGAUGACGUCAAGUCAUCAUGCCCCUUAUGUCCAGGGCUUCACGCAUGCUACAAUGGCUGGUACAGAGAGUGGCGAGCCUGUGAGGGUGAGCGAAUCUCGGAAAGCCGGUCUCAGUUCGGAUUGGGGUCUGCAACUCGACCUCAUGAAGUCGGAGUCGCUAGUAAUCGCAGAUCAGCAACGCUGCGGUGAAUACGUUCCCGGGGCU